AACGUAGGAGACAAACGUUAUCCGGAGUUACUGGGCGUAAAGAGCGUGUAGGCGGUUUGGUAGGUCCGUUGUGAAAACUCGAGGCUCAACCUCGAGACGCCGAUGGAAACCAUCAGACUAGAGUCCGGAAGAGGAGAGUGGAAUUCCUGGUGUAGCGGUGAAAUGCGCAGAUAUCAGGAAGAACACCCGUGGCUAAGGCGGCUCUCUAGUACGGUACUGACGCUGAGACGCGAAAGCGUGGGGAGCGAACAGG
rnacentral:rRNA from 1 species